AUCUGCACGUAAGGGAGAAUUUGAAACUGGGUAUGAAAAGGGUGGACAGACUCGUGAACAUGUCCAACUUGCAAAAGACCUUAGGUGUUUCUAAGUUGCUCAUUGUUGUCAACAAAAUGGAUGAUCCUACUGUAAGAUGGUCAAAAGAGAGGUAUGAUGAAAUAAAGUCAAAGAUGAUACCUUUCCUAAAAUUGUCAGGUUACAAUGUGAAGAAAGAUGUUCAAUUUCUCCCGAUAUCUGGUCUUAUUGGCUCUAACAUGAAAACAAGGGUGGAAAAGGGUGUAUGCUCAUGGUGGAAUGGACCGUGCCUUUUUGAAGCUCUUGAUGCCAUAGAAGUCCCACCACGUGAUCCUUGUUGAAAGCUGUUAUUUGCCUAAGUAUAGUACCGCAGGGGUACUAUUGUAUUUUUACCCCUUCAUUUUUUUAGUUGCUGUCACCCUAGUAUAUAUAACAAAUAGCUGGUGCCGCCAGCAUGCUUUUGACUCUCAAAUCUUUCUCCUCUCUUCUUCUCUCUCUCUUCUUUCUUCCUCUCUUCUUUUCUUCUUUUCACCUACAUCACUGCACUGAUAACAUGGUAUCAGAGCCAGACCAUUAGAUCUGAAAAGGAGAGAUCGCCCAGGCUUCCAAAUCUGCUGCCACCAUCUACAGUUCGAGUGAUUGAAGAUCUGCCGCCAUCAUCUACAGUUCUCACGCCUGAAACUUGCUCUGGUACCAUGUUUUUCUUGGUAGAAAAGUUGCUGAAUAGAAGAGAGAAGGAAGAGAAGAGAGGAAGAAAGAAGAGAAGAUUUGGAGUCAAAAAGUUGGGGCUGGCGGUAUAGCAUCCGGACGCUCCACAUUUCUUGAACUCGGCUUGCUCUAAUGCCAAUGAAAGGAAACACGAAACAAGGGAGGAUCAGGAAUAGAAGGAAGGUGAACCUGAGCAUGUUUCUCCUCAACCCUACUACAAAGCCCUAAUGAUCUCAAUUUCACAGUUAAAAAGGGAGAGUAUUGGAGUCCAUAGAACAAGGAAGUUGGACAGCAUAAAGAGGAAUAGGUUCAACAGGUAUGCUAAUGUAAAUAGAAAACAAACGGCUGUGCCAUUGAAGAGGCAUGGAAAUUAAAAAAUAAAACCAAAGGACAAGGGGAUAGUUCAAUGGUGAGAGACCUUUGAUCCGGAUGGUUGAACUGCUGACCUGUUGACCUGGAGAGAAUAGUGGUUCAACCUCCAGGCUGGGUUUUAAAACAUCGAUUACAUGAGCAUCUAUAAAGUUGAUAAAUUGGAGAUUACUACUUUUUUUUUGGUGGGGAAGGGGUGUUAAAGAAGGUUCAAGGGAUGUUUGUUUUUAAUCGGUCCUCUAUUCUUUAUAAAUCUGAGGGCCUUAUUGUAAAGAUUGGUAGCUUCCUUGUUGAGAUGGAAAUCUUAUGGCAGAACCUAUUUAAUUUUAUGCUGAUUCUCUAUGAAGAAUUUCAGAAGGGCCCAUUGCUGCUUAGGUGUGCCCUUAGGGGGAAAACUUUUUGGCUGCUAAACUUAAAAGCUCAUUCAAAUGGAUUCUCAUCCAGCUAAGACUUCGGUUUACUCCCUUGAUAGAUUUAUAGUGACUACACAGGAGACAGGACCUUGUAUAGGGGUCAUGAGGCCAGGAGUGCAGAUUAAGGAAUCCUAGUAAAUGAAUGAUGUAUUACACUUUUGACAAAUUUUACUGCUAUCUUAGAUUUUUACUGCUGGUUACAAGGCAGUACUGCACAUUCAUGCUGUUGUUGAGGAGUGUGAAAUUGUGGAACUGCUGCAGCAAAUUGAUCCAAAGACAAGGAAACCCAUGAAGAAGAAGGUCCUUUUAGUGAAGAAUGGUGCUGUUGUUGUAUGCCGCAUUCAGGUUAGUAACUUGAUUUGCAUUGAGAAGUUCUCUGAUUUUCCACAACUUGGAAGAUUUACUCUUCGCACUGAAGGUCUUCCAAGCACCAGACCGGCAAUUUUGGUGUAAAGAGUAAGGAGCAAAUGCCCGAUAUGCUCCCCUGAACCGGUUUCGAAAAAAAUAAAAAAAAAAGUAAAAAAAAAACAGUACCGAUACCGCCCGAUAUGCUCCUACCGGUGUAUCAGGGGUAUCAAUAUUUAGAACCUUGUCUGGUUGUCACUGUUCUCUUACCAUAGAUUUCAAAAUUGAGAAUCUAUUGUUGAUCUUUGUCUGUGCUUUCUGGCAUCAUGAGUGCUCACCACAAUUGAGGGCGAUAUGAUAGGAAGGGAUAUAUGGCAACUCACCAACUACCAAUAUCCCUAGUUGAAGAAAGGAGAGGGAGGUAAAAACAAGACAUAAAUCAAUUGUAUAUUUUGAAAAUUUGAAAAAAAAAUGAAGGACAAAAGAGCCACAAGCGCUUAUUGGUGAAAAAGAUCACCAAACAUCCAAUAUGAAAUAAAUGUUUAUUUUUU